UACGGAGGAUGCGAGCGUUAUCCGGAUUUAUUGGGUUUAAAGGGUGCGCAGGCGGGAUUUUAAGUCAGCGGUGAAAUUUUCAGGCUCAACCUGAACACUGCCGUUGAAACUGGGAUUCUUGAGUAUGGAUGAAGUAGGCGGAAUUCGUUGUGUAGCGGUGACAUGCUUAGAUAUAACGAGGAACUCCGAUUGCGUAGGCAGCUUACUAAGCCAUAACUGACGCUCAAGCACGAAAGCGUGGGGAUCAAACAGGAUUAGAUACCCUGGUAGUCCACGCCGUAAACGAUGAUUACUAGUUGUUUGCGAUAUACCGUAAGUGACUAAGCGAAAGCGAUAAGUAAUCCACCUGGGGAGUACGGUCGCAAGAUUAAA
rnacentral:rRNA from 1 species